rnacentral:rRNA from 1 species
ACUGCGAGUGAAGCGGGAAAAGCUCAAAUUUAAAAUCUGGCAGUCUUUGGCUGUCCGAGUUGUAGUCUGGAGAAGUGCUUUCCGUGCUGGACCGUGUACAAGUCUCUUGGAACAGAGCGUCAUAGAGGGUGAGAAUCCCGUCUUUGACACGGACUACCAGUGCUUUGUGAUGCGCUCUCAAAGAGUCGAGUUGUUUGGGAAUGCAGCUCAAAAUGGGUGGUGAAUUCCAUCUAAAGCUAAAUAUUGGCGAGAGACCGAUAGCGAACAAGUACCGUGAGGGAAAGAUGAAAAGCACUUUGGAAAGAGAGUUAAACAGUACGUGAAAUUGCUGAAAGGGAAACGCUUGAAGUCAGUCGCGUUGGCCAGGACUCAGCCUUGCUUUUUUGCUUGGUGCAUUUUCUGGUUGACGGGUCAGCAUCAGUUUUGAUUGUCGGAAAAAGGUUGGAGGAAUGUGGCACCUUCGGGUGUGUUAUAGCCUCUGGUCACAUACGACGGUUGGGACUGAGGAUAUCAGCACGCCUUUAUGGCCGGGGUUCGCCCACGUUCGUGCUUAGGAUGCUGGCAUAAUGGCUUUAAGCGACCCGUCUUGAAACACGGACCAAGGAGUCUAACAUACCUGCGAGUGUUUGGGUGGAAAACCCGAGCGCGUAAUGAAAGUGAAAGUUGAGAUCCCUGUUGUGGGGAGCAUCGACGCCCGGACCUGACGUUCUCUGAUGGAUCCGCGGUAGAGCAUGUAUGCUGGGACCCGAAAGAUGGUGAACUAUGCCUGAAUAGGGUGAAGCCAGAGGAAAC